rnacentral:rRNA from 1 species
GUUGAACGCUAGCGGCAGGCUUAACACAUGCAAGUCGAGGGGUAGAGGAAGCUUGCUUCCUUGAGACCGGCGCACGGGUGCGUAACGCGUAUACAAUCUACCUUUUACAGAGGGAUAGCCCCAGAGAAAUUUGGAUUAAUACCUCAUAGUAUUUUCGGAUCGCAUGAUUUGAUUAUUAAAGUUCCAGCGGUAAAAGAUGAGUAUGCGUCCCAUUAGCUAGAUGGUAAGGUAACGGCUUACCAUGGCUACGAUGGGUAGGGGUCCUGAGAGGGAGAUCCCCCACACUGGUACUGAGACACGGACCAGACUCCUACGGGAGGCAGCAGUGAGGAAUAUUGGACAAUGGGCGAAAGCCUGAUCCAGCAAUGCCGCGUGAGUGAUGAAGGCCU